GAAAUGCGAUAAGUAGUGUGAAUUGCAGAAUUCAGUGAAUCAUCGAAUCUUUGAACGCACAUUGCGCCCUUUGGUAUUCCAGAGGGCAUGCCUGUUCGAGCGUCAUUUGUACCCUCAAGCUUUGCUUGGUGUUGGGCGUCUUGUCUCUAGCUUUGCUGGAGACUCGCCUUAAAGUAAUUGGCAGCCGGCCUACUGGUUUCGGAGCGCAGCACAAGUCGCACUCUCUAUCAGCAAAGGUCUAGCAUCCAUUAAGCCUUUUUUUCAACUUUUGACCUCGGAUCAGGUAGGGAUACCCGCUGAACUUAAGC
rnacentral:misc_RNA from 1 species